UUUGUGUUUUGCAUACUUUUAGAUAUUGGAUUUCACUCAAAGAGCACCAAAUGACUCCUCCCAUCAUAUUAUGAUGUUCCUCAAGUUUUGGAGUCAAUCCGAUAUCGAUUGGUCCACGAAAUUGAACAAUUCAGGAUCAUACGAAGUUCUUCUAAAAUGGAGUGGUUGGUGUUUUGCAUGGUUUUAGGGAUUGGAUUUCAC
rnacentral:lncRNA from 1 species